UGGGCAUCUUGCGAUUCCA
rnacentral:misc_RNA from 1 species